ACGGACCAUUGAGUUCUAUAAUAACUGGAGCGGCUAUCUCUCAAAAGAUGAUUCAAGUUUGUUUUUGCGUUUGAAUUUCGUAUCAGAGUAAUCAUGUAGACGCAUUUACAUGAAUUUUGAAAAUUUUUGGCCAGAAGAAUCAUCGCAAAGGUGAUCCCACAGUUUUUGGGAACCUACCACCAAGUGAAGAAUGUGUUUGGGCGCUCUGUGACGCAAUAAAGUCAGGAAA